AUGGACCACGCGUGCACUGCGGUUCUGAGCGCGCCGUCCGCGCCCACCUGACAGCG
rnacentral:sRNA from 1 species